rnacentral:rRNA from 1 species
GAUGAACGCUAGCUACAGGCUUAACACAUGCAAGUCGCGGGGCAGCAUGGGGGUUGCUUGCAAUCCCCGAUGGCGACCGGCGCACGGGUGAGUAACGCGUAUCCAACCUGCCCUUCACCACGGGAUAACCCGGCGAAAGUCGGACUAAUACCGUAUGUUGUCCAUUGACGGCAUCCGAUUUGGACGAAAGGCUUGGCGGUGAGGGAUGGGGAUGCGUCCGAUUAGCCAGACGGCGGGGUAACGGCCCACCGUGGCUACGAUCGGUAGGGGUUCUGAGAGGAAGGGCCCCCACACUGGAACUGAGACACGGUCCAGACUCGUACGGGAGGCAGCAGUGAGGAAUAUUGGUCAAUGGGCGUAAGCCUGAACCAGCCAAGUAGCGUGCAGGAUGACGGCCCUAGGGGUUGUAAACUGCUUUUAUGCGGGGAUAAAGUGGCCCACGUGUGGGGUUUUGCAGGUACCGCAUGAAUAAGGACCGGCUAAUUCCGUG